rnacentral:lncRNA from 1 species
UAGUGCAAAAGCUAUCUAUCUAUAUGCAUAUCUAUUUAUAUCUAUACCUAUACCUAUACAUUAUUUCUCAUGAAACUUGCCAUGUGCCAAUUCCUCCUUCACUCCCUUUCUAUUCCUUGAUACUUCGCUUUCCCAUCCCCAUAUCUGCCCAAUGCUUUGUCUUCUCGUCCGCCCACUUUCUAAUUAAUGUAUUCACAUGAUUUAUUUUUAUCUAAAUAAUUUUUUUAAAAAAAUAAGUAAAAUAAGAUCUCUUCAUACUCUUUUUAUCACAUUUUUUUGGCUUUUUUAAUUUGGCGCACAAGCAGAGUUCAUUUUUUGUAUUUUUCUUAAUCUUUCUUUUUAAAUAGUGUGGGGAUUAAAAUUACGGUUCUAAGAAUUGCGGUGACGGGCGUGGCGAGGUGAAGUAUGAUUGAUUUGGAGUUAAUAAGAGGGAAGAAAUGAUGGAUGUAGGGAAAUCUGUACGGUAUCAACGUCGCCGUGACCAAGGAGAAGCUCGACGCCGACAAUGACGGUGGAGGCGACACGGAGAACAGAAAUCGCCUUUCCGAUCUCGGCAAUACAAUUAAUGUGCAUAUGGAGUAGUAACUCUAUAAGCGCUUCUUUUAUUAUUGUUAUGUAUAAUUUAUUUACUUUUGUAAAUUUUGCUAACAUUUGUAUACAUCUGUUUUAUAUUUUCUAUUUGUAUUUAUUGAUAUUUCAUGACAAAUUAAAAAAUUUUAAAAUUUUAGUUUUGUCAAUCUUUUAUCUUCUAUAUUAUUAGCUCGUUGUAAUGCGCGGGUAACUUCAUUAGUUCUUGAAUCACUUGUUUUGACAAUUAAAUGGACCUU